rnacentral:rRNA from 1 species
UACGGAGGGUGCAAGCGUUAAUCGGAUUUACUGGGCGUAAAGCGCGUGUAGGCGGGGGGACAAGUCUGAUGUGAAAGCCCGGGGCUCAACCCCGGGACUGCAUUGGAAACUAGCAGACUAGAGUGCAGGAGAGGUAAGUGGAAUUCCUAGUGUAGCGGUGAAAUGCGUAGAUAUUAGGAGGAACACCAGUGGCGAAGGCGACUUACUGGACUGUAACUGACGCUGAGGCUCGAAAGCGUGGGGAGCGAACGGG